rnacentral:rRNA from 1 species
GACGAACGCUGGCUGCGUGCUUAACACAUGCAAGUCGAACGCUGAAGCCUGGUGCUUGCACCGAGUGGAUGAGUGGCGAACGGGUGAGUAACACGUGAGUAACCUGCCCCUGACUUCGGGAUAAGCCCGGGAAACUGGGUCUAAUACCGGAUACGACUGCCGGACGCAUGUCUGGUGGUGGAAAGUUUUUUCGGUUGGGGAUGGGCUCGCGGCCUAUCAGUUUGUUGGUGAGGUAAUGGCUCACCAAGACGACGACGGGUAGCCGGCCUGAGAGGGCGACCGGCCACACUGGGACUGAGACACGGCCCAGACUCCUACGGGAGGCAGCAGUGGGGAAUAUUGCACAAUGGGGGAAACCCUGAUGCAGCGACGCAGCGUGCGGGAUGACGGCCUUCGGGUUGUAAACCGCUUUCAGCAGGGAAGAAGCGCAAGUGACGGUACCUGCAGAAGAAGUACCGGCUAACUACGUGCCAGCAGCCGCGGUAAUACGUAGGGUACGAGCGUUGUCCGGAAUUAUUGGGCGUAAAGAGCUCGUAGGUGGUUGGUCACGUCUGCUGUGGAAACGCAACGCUUAACGUUGCGCGUGCAGUGGGUACGGGCUGACUAGAGUGCAGUAGGGGAGUCUGGAAUUCCUGGUGUAGCGGUGAAAUGCGCAGAUAUCAGGAGGAACACCGGUGGCGAAGGCGGGACUCUGGGCUGUAACUGACACUGAGGAGCGAAAGCAUGGGGAGCGAACAGGAUUAGAUACCCUGGUAGUCCAUGCCGUAAACGUUGGGCACUAGGUGUGGGGGGCAUUCCACGUUCUCCGCGCCGUAGCUAACGCAUUAAGUGCCCCGCCUGGGGAGUACGGUCGCAAGGCUAAAACUCAAAGGAAUUGACGGGGGCCCGCACAAGCGGCGGAGCAUGCGGAUUAAUUCGAUGCAACGCGAAGAACCUUACCAAGGCUUGACAUACACCGGACCGUCCUGGAAACAGGUCUUCUUCUUUGAAGCUGGUGUACAGGUGGUGCAUGGUUGUCGUCAGCUCGUGUCGUGAGAUGUUGGGUUAAGUCCCGCAACGAGCGCAACCCUCGUUCUAUGUUGCCAGCACGUGAUGGUGGGAACUCAUAGGAGACUGCCGGGGUCAACUCGGAGGAAGGUGGGGAUGACGUCAAAUCAUCAUGCCCUUUAUGUCUUGGGCUUCACGCAUGCUACAAUGGCUGGUACAGAGAGAGGCGAACCCGUGAGGGCAAGCGAAUCCCUUAAAGCCAGUCUCAGUUCGGAUCGUAGUCUGCAAUUCGACUACGUGAAGUCGGAGUCGCUAGUAAUCGCAGAUCAGCAACGCUGCGGUGAAUACGUUCCCGGGCCU